rnacentral:rRNA from 1 species
GAACGCUGGCGGCGUGCUUAACACAUGCAAGUCGAACGCGAAAGGGACUUCGGUCCUGAGUAAAGUGGCGCACGGGUGAGUAACGCGUGGAUAAUCUGCCCUUAUGAUCGGGAUAACAGUUGGAAACGGCUGCUAAUACCGGAUACGCUCAAAAUGAACUUUUUGAGGAAAGAUGGCCUCUGCUUGCAUGCUAUCACGUAAGGAUGAGUCCGCGUCCAUUAGCUUGUUGGCGGGUAACGGCCCACCAAGGCAACGAUGGGUAGCCGAUUUGAGAGGAUGAUCGGCCACACUGGAACUGAAACACGGUCCAGACUCCUACGGGAGGCAGCAGUGGGGAAUAUUGCGCAAUGGGCGAAAGCCUGACGCAGCGACGCCGCGUGAGGGAUGUAAAGGUUUUCGGAUCGUAAACCUCUGUCAGAAGGGAAGAAACUACGUUGUGCUAAUCAGCAGCGUACUGACGGUACCUUCAAAGGAAGCACCGGCUAACUCCGUGCCAGCAGCUGC